ensembl:ncRNA T09B4.13 ncRNA
UUCUCCGGGGGCGCUUCUUCAUUGAAGAGAGAGACCUCCCGCCACUCUUCUUUGAAGAGACAAUCUGUGAACUUUGGCAAACUGUCAGCGUGUCUAGAACUCUCUUCAUUUAUCCUUACUCUCCAAUUUUUGGGACGGGUAGGA